GAUGAACGCUAGCUACAGGCUUAACACAUGCAAGUCGAGGGGUAACGAGAGGAAAGCUUGCUUUCCUUGUCGACGACCGGCGCACGGGUGAGUAACGCGUAUCCAACCUGCCCCCAACUAAGGAAUAACCUUGCGAAAGUAAGACUAAUACCUUAUAAUUUCCUCAGAUGUCAUCUGACGAGGAAUAAAGAUUUAUCGGUUGAGGAUGGGGAUGCGUCUGAUUAGCUUGUUGGCGGGGUAACGGCCCACCAAGGCAACGAUCAGUAGGGGUUCUGAGAGGAAGGUCCCCCACAUUGGAACUGCGAGGCGUUCCAAACUCCUACGGGAGGCAGCAGUGAGGAAUAUUGGUCAAUGGGCGAAAGCCUGAACCAGCCAAGUCGCGUGCAGGAUGACGGCCCUAUGGGUUGUAAACUGCUUUUAUACAGGAAUAAAGUUAGCCACGUGUGGUUAUUUGUAGGUACUGUAUGAAUAAGGACCGGCUAAUUCCGUGCCAGCAGCCGCAGUAA
rnacentral:rRNA from 1 species